rnacentral:rRNA from 1 species
GGAAACGGUAGCUAAUACCGAAUACUUGCUUUCUUCGCCUGAAGGGAGCUGGAAAGACGGAGCAAUCUGUCACUUGAGGAUGGGCCUGCGGCGCAUUAGCUAGUUGGUGAGGUAACGGCUCACCAAGGCGACGAUGCGUAGCCGACCUGAGAGGGUGAUCGGCCACACUGGGACUGAGACACGGCCCAGACUCCUACGGGAGGCAGCAGUAGGGAAUCUUCCGCAAUGGGCGAAAGCCUGACGGAGCAAUGCCGCGUGAGUGAUGAAGGUUUUCGGAUCGUAAAGCUCUGUUGCCAGGGAAGAACGUCCUUGAGAGUAACUGCUCAAGGAGUGACGGUACCUGAGAAGAAAGCCCCGGCUAACUACGUGCCAGCAGCCGCGGUAAUACGUAGGGGGCAAGCGUUGUCCGGAAUUAUUGGGCGUAAAGCGCGCGCAGGCGGUCAUUUAAGUCUGGUGUUUAAUCCCGGGGCUCAACCCCGGAUCGCACUGGAAACUGGAUGACUUGAGUGCAGAAGAGGAGAGUGGAAUUCCACGUGUAGCGGUGAAAUGCGUAGAGAUGUGGAGGAACACCAGUGGCGAAAGGCGACUCUCUGGGCUGUAA